GGGCAUCCCCGCUUCCUUUCGUGCGUGGGCACCGAGGGCAGCGGCUGGUAGGAGCGGGCAGCCCUGCGUUCUCCGCGGCGGAGUUGGCUGGCCCUUGGCCGGGCUGUUGGAGGUACUGCAAAACCUGUGGGUUUUGAAGAUGCGUGAAGGUUCUGACAGAGAGAUAUCCAAGUCUAUCAAAAAUGCCUGGGACUAAACUUGGAGGAGCCCGUGAUGUAUGCUGAGGCACCUCAAGUUCAUGUCAAGCACACAUGUAGCUGCAGGUGACUGACUGUUCACUCCUUUGGUUGUGGUGUUUGAAAACACUUCAGUGCCUCAAGUGUGGCAUACAGCAGGUUGGAAGCAAAAUGUAGAAUUAGACAAAGAAGAUGAACAGAUGAUGAAAAUUCACACUCAUUUGAUAAUUAAAUAAUUUCGUAGUAAAUUAUUGGAAAAUAAAUGUCUCUGAUUGCUGGGUAAUAAAGUCCUUGAAUGGUUGCAUUCUA